rnacentral:rRNA from 1 species
CCACUCUUUGCAGGAGGCAGUUAUGAGACGUGAAGAUGAGUAUCUUGUAAAGAGGGAUAGGAGAAUUGGAGGGCAAGUUUGGUGCCAGCAGCCGCGGUAAUACCGACUCCAAGAGUGUGUAUGAGAGAUGCUGCAGUUAAAAAGUCCGUAGUCAUAGAAGGGCAAAGAGAGACGCGAGGUCUCACAGUGCGAUGAUGGAGGAGCCGAUGGGGAACAUAGUAUACCAGGGCGAGAGAUGAAAUGCCAAGACCCCUGGUGGACUGAGCGAGGCGAAGGCGAUGUUCUUGUAGGCAUUCGGUGAUCAAGGACGAAGGCUGGAGUAUCGAAAGUGAUUAGAUACCGCAGUAGUUCCAGCAGUAAAAGAUGCCGACAUGCUCAUUGGACACAGUGGGCAGGGAGAAAUCUUAGAGUUCGGGCUCUGGGGAUAGUAUGCUCGCAAGGGUGAAAAUUAAAGAAAUUGACGGAGCUACACCACAAGGAGUGGAUUGUGCGGCUUAAUUUGACUCAACGCGAGGAAACUUACCAGGGCCAAGUAUUGUGUAGAAACGAGCAAUACAGGAGUGGUGCAUGGUCGUUGGAAAUUGAUGGGAUGACUUUGACCUUAAAUGGUUGAAUGAGUGAGAUCUUUUGGACAUGUUCCGCACGGAACAGGAAGGAAAAGGCUAUAACAGAUCCGAGAUGCCCUCAGAUGCCCUGGGCUGCACGCGCAAUACAAUAGCAGGUAGAGAGAGAGACAGGAAGGUGCUCAGAUGGACUAUGUGCUGUAAGGCACAUACGAAAGAGGAAUUCCUAGUAAGUGUGUAUCAACAAUGGAUAUU